rnacentral:rRNA from 1 species
GGAAGUAAAAGUCGUAACAAGGUCAUCGUAGGUGAACCUGCGGUGGGAUCAUUAAAUAAUCUCAACCUUUGGGGCUAUUUUGCUGUGGGUGUGGUUGUUUCUUUAGUGCUUUGGGAAUGUGUGCUUUCUGUUAUGGAUGGCGUGCUUCUUGGAGGACGAGAGAUGGCUAUUGCUUGCAGCAGAGCUCUGCUUGUGUGAAUCUUGUAUGUUGCCUGGAGAAGAUAUGUCAUGUAUCUAAUCCGGCAAUGUGAGAAUAGUUUUGGCGGGUGUAGUGUAAGAGUGCAUACCCUGCACUCUGACAUAGCUCCGCCAGCUGUUCUCUAACAUAAACACUAUCAAACAACCAAUAACCAUAUAUCACGAGGACUAAACACCCUCAUCAAUUAAUUUACAACUAUCCGUGGUGGAUCACUUGGCUCUUGCAUCGAUGAAGAACGUAGCGAAUUGCGAAAAUUACUGCGAAUUGCUUUAGCGUGAAUCAUUGAGUCUUUGAACGCACAUUGCACUCUGUACUUUUGUGCAGAGUAUGCCUGUUUGAGCAUCAGAUUGACACCACUCACCGCUGUUUAUUUAUUAGCUUGAAAGAGCUUUUGGGUAGAUUGUGGCUGAGGACCAUGAGCGCCUUCCAACCUUUAUUAGUAAAUGUUGGUCGCUUCAAAUAAAAGAGGACGUAUUUCAGUGGCCGACUAGAUUCGGAGCACUGUGAGCGAGAGGCAGCAUGCACAUUGAAUUUUGCAUUCUGUUGUCCAGACCGUGAAGCGUGGUUGGCCAGAGACUAGUAGCAGAUAUUUAUAUCAGUGAACGUUUUGAUUAUCCAUCGGCAAGCAAUUAACUUUGUUUUGCCAUCACACACAUGGUCGCUACGAGACAGCAGAAUACACGCAACUUGAAAUGUAAAGGCUGAAUCGUUUGAGCUUGCAGUCGCAACUUAUCACAUAACUGCGCCCUAUUGCCUCUAUCCAUGUUUGCAAUCUAUAAUAAUCAUCAAAAUGAUCUCAAAUCAGGUAGGACUACCCGCUGAACUUAAGCAUAUCAAUAAGCGGAGGA